ACCUUAUAAAUACGUCUAUUUCUAACAACUUUCCCUAGUGGUAUUUCCUGUGAAAAUGCCAGUUUCCACCACUUUUCACUCACUGAGAUUUUCUAUUUUAUAAUAAGAAAGCCAUGAUAUCGACACUUUCUAUGACAACUGCCGAACGACGCAGUUCGUGCAUUUUCCCAGUCAAUAUUUUUAUGGAAAAUUUCAGUUUUUGAAUAAUAUUCAAUCCCCAAAUUUUUAGUGGGUUCUGGUUGUUUUUAGUUGUGAAAGAGCACAUUUGAAUUACAUUUACACCGAUCGAAAUCCAAAAAAAAUGUAAAAAGUAGCUUUAUUAAUAUGAUAAUAUGCAAGCCACAAGGGAGCGCUUGGACCUUUGAACUAGCGAAUACAUGGUGACUCAUUUUUAAAAAAACCAAUCAAAUAUCCAGCAAAUUGUAGCAAAUACAAGAAAACAUACCUUCGAACACAAAUGUUGUUUAAUUACUAGGGGAAAACCCGGAGAUAUCAACUUUUUCGACAGAUGGCGCUGUUAAAGACAAGAAGGGGACUUUAGAUUUUUAAAUGGAUUGGAUAAUAAAGUAUUCAGCACUUCAACGAAUCCUACAAACUUCCAGAUCCGUAUGUUAAUACUUACCUCUGGUGAAAUGUUGAUUGGCAAUUUUACAAGGAAAGUGAAUAAAGCAAUGCCAUUAAUUAA